ensembl:lncRNA
UUUUUUUUUUUUUUUUUUUUAGUGUCAUUUAACUGAAUGUUAUAUCCAAUUUCACUGAUCACUUUGAGAGGCCAAAACAUGCUUUGAUUUGUUAUUUUGUGUUUGAGCUAGUUUAUUGCCUCACAGGAAUGCCAAGUAUUCUGUUGUCACACAUCAUUAAGUAUCUCAAAUUGUGUUACUAUAAUACUUAGCUGAAUUACCUCCCUUAUUUUGGCUUUUAAAAAUCUAAAAUCUGUGUGAAACACAGGAUGGUGCAUCUCCAUUGAGGGUUGUUGAGAAGUGUGACUUUUCCUGGCAUGCUUGAAAAUCAGUGACAUUAUUUUAUAGAAACACUUUGUAACUGACAGCAAAGCUUAGAAGCUCCUGUAAAGGGCAGAGUAGGCAACGUGUUAUGCUUUGAGGGCCACAGAAGUCUCUGCAUAUAUUUCUUUUGUGAAAACUUCAACGUGUAAAAAUCCCUGGCCAAGGCUCGGUCGGGGAUCAUGGUUUGCAGACCCUUAACAGCAGCUUAGCUGAAAGCUGGUCUCCCAUGCGGUGAGCAGGAGCCCACCUCAUUGCUUCAGCCAGGAAGAAGCUACCCUCAUGCUGGAAUUUACUUCAAAGAAACUUGAAAGCUCUGGCACCGCUGCUCAUUUCCAUACUGUUGCAGGCUAUCUAAAAUACGGAGGAUGCCGUGGCGUUUUGAUUUUGUUACUCCUCUUGAACGGCUCUGAGAUGGCUCAUCAUGAGUUAGACAUUUGCAGAAAUGAUCAAGCAGAGCUGCAGUCAUCUUGCAGAUCAAGUGAAGUUUUUUCUGAAAACUCGUUACAGGCUUAAAUUUCUGAUCCCAUUCCAUCCACUGAUCUUGUAUGAUUGGUUUCUUUUUGUACCCAUUUGGGUCUAUGAAGCGUCUCCCCACCGUGGUAGAAAUUUAGCUCUGAUUUUGUGCAUGAGUCGGUAUCCUCACUCCUCAUCUGUGAGGAGAAAGUGCUGCAGGUCUGUGUGGUUUCCAUCCCCUCCCUGCAGGCGGAUGGAUUGGGAGGUAUUUGUGGUGUGUGAACUUGCUACCCCCAGAGCCUUCUGCUUCAUUCCCUGGACCGCUUUCCUCCCUCCUCCCUCCUGACUCACUCCCCUGGACCACACUUCUCCCUCCUGGUUCACUCCUUGGGCCGAACUCCACCCUCCUCCCUCCUGGUUCACUGCCCUGGGCCCCCACGCCUCCCUCCUUGUUCACUCCCCUGAGCCCCCACGCCUCCCUCAUAGUUCACUCCCCUGAGCCCCCACUCCUCCCUCAUAGUUCACUCCCCAGGGCCCCCACUCCUCCCUACUCUCCUGGGCCACAUUCCUCCCUCCUGGUUCACUCCCCUGGGUCCCCAAUCCUCCCUCUUGGGGGCUUGGUAGUUUCUGAUGUGCUUGUGCCAGCACGAUAAGGCUGAGUGGCAGCUCCAGGGCUGCGGCUGCUCACGCAGCUGUGGCAUGAGUGCAGAGAACUGCGGGGAAUGCAGCUGCCCUUGCUGUGAUGCUUCAAGUGUCAUAGUCGAUAUGGGAAACUGGGUGGGAUGCGGAUGUCCCAGGAAGGGACAGGAGCCUCCCCUCAGCCUCUGUCAAACAGUUCUCAGCCAGGCGUGGUGGCUCACGCCUGUAAUCCCAGCACUUUGGGAGGCCGGGGCGGGCAGAUCACCU